CUCUGUGACUGGCUUGCUUGAUGGUUAGGGUCUGAUCGCUGCCUGAGACACCAUAUCGGUACUCCUCAGAGUUGAUGCAGAGUGUUCAUAUGAGGAGAGACUUUCCCUUGUCUCCGUCAUCUGUGAUUUCACUUCCCUGACAGAAGACGAAGCUUCCAUCUCAGAUGUUUUCUUAAAUGAUGAAACAGCAUACGCCUCUGUUCUUGUCAGCUCAGGGAAAACAGAUCUGGGGACCUCUUCAUCUCUGCGUUGGGAAGCAUAGGUGGUAUAAUCCCCUCCUGUCACGUCCAACGUUGCAUAGUCAGAAGCUUCGCCCUUGUAGUUGGUGCACACAGCACGGUGAUCACAGGAUCUGGUUUGCCACUGAAAGGAAUCUUGAUGCUGACCACUUCACCUCGGAGAGCAUGAACUGCUCCCAUGCCUUCAAGAGUUUUAGAUUUUCACAUUUCACACGAAACUCGUAUUCAAGACCUUCAAUAAGGUUUUUCACUGAAAAGACAGUUUCUCGAAUUUCUUCUGUUGUCACAGAAAUCCAUUUAUUCUGCUUCUUCUCACGCUUCUCAAGAAUUUUAUGCAAAGAUGGAACUUUACCAUAGGAAGAUACAGAAAUCAAGUUGUACUCACCAAAUGGACUCUUAAUGAUCACAACUGAGGACACUUCUAGAGGGUCACUGAUGCCGAAAGUGUUCUGAGCUGAAACCCGGAAGUAAUAGCCAGCAUUUUCUGUGAGGUUCACAAUUCUACAGGUUGUCACUGAGAUGGCUGAAGACACCAAUUGCCAUUCAGCCCCCUCCUUGGCCUCACAUUUUUCCAC
ensembl:lncRNA TTN-AS1 TTN antisense RNA 1